rnacentral:rRNA from 1 species
UACGGGAGGCAGCAGUGGGGAAUAUUGCACAAUGGGCGAAAGCCUGAUGCAGCUAUGCCGCGCGUAUGAAGAAGGCCUUAGGGUUGUAAAGUACUUUCAUCGGGGAGGAAAAACAAAACUAAUAAUUUUAUUUCUUGACGUUACCCGAAAAAGAAGCACCGGCUAACUCCGUGCCAGCAGCCGCGGUAAUACGGAGGGUGCUAGCGUUAAUCAGAAUUACUGGGCGUAAAGAGCACGUAGGUGGUUUUUUUAAGUCAGAUGUGAAAUCCCUGGGCUUAACCUGGAACUGCAUUUUGAAACUGAAAUACUAGAGUAUCGUAGAGGGAGGUAGAAUUCUAGGUGUAGCGGUGAAAUGCGUAGAUAUCUGGAGGAAUACCUGUGGCGAAAGCGGCCUCCUAAACGAAUACUGACACUGAGGUGCGAAAGCGUGGGGAGCAAACAGGGAUUAGAUACC